UAAACAUAACGUGGGGGUGGUGUAGCUGGUUAGCCUGUUCGCUCAUCAAACUUGAGGUCUUGGGUUCGAUAACUACACUUGAGCAUAAUUUUGUUUUUGGUCGACUUCUUUCUUCCACCCAAUGACAGGUAGGCCCCGCAUGACAGAGAGAGAAAGUGAUCUCGGGCGGUGCCAGGAGGAUUCUUUGACUGGUCAAAAUGGAUGGAUACGGAGCUAUACGAUCUCGUAGUGACCGUAUAAUCACCUCAUCACGUAUAAGCUGCAGCCUCGGUGCUUGUUUUCUAGGGUUUGCACUCUUCACACUCUCUCCAGUAUAUAUAUACACACUGGAGCCUCAGCGCUUGUAGUUGCUCUCUUCACACUCUCUCACCCUCUCCAGAUCUAAACAAGACUCCGUUGGCCUCUAUCUCUCUCCUCACUGCUGGUCUGCUUGUAGUUGCUCUCUUCACACUCUCUCACCCUCUCCAGAUCUAAACAAGACUUCGUUGGCCUCUCUCUCUCCCCUCACUGCUGGUCAAAGAGCCGGCAGGAUCCGUCCGCCGGGAAGGGAAGGAGGCUUAACGCUAUCGCCAUCGGCAAGGGAGGGAAUCCACUACCGGCGCAGCUGUUCACUUUCACCCAGCGGCGGUGCGGGAGGGCCUCCGACCCCUUCUUCUUCGCCGCCGUACAUAGUGUGGGUCAAACGACCUCCGGUCGCCCACCGAACCACACCCCAAGAACUUAAGGUAUAAUUUACUUAUUCCACAUGCAUUGCUCUAGCUGCAUGUGGGCUUUUUCUGCUUCUGCACUCGAAUCUAGGUGUUGGAUCAAACAGGAAAGUAGUGGGGAAGGUUGUAUACCAUGAAUCUAGGACGUGGUUCAAAGAGGAAAGGAAUGGGGGAAAGUAGUGGGAAAAGUUGUAUAGCAUGAAUCUAGGACGUGGUUCAAAAAGGAAAGGAAGGGGGAAAGUAGUGGGGAAAGUUGUAUCGCAUGAAUCUAAGACGUGGUUCAAAGAGGACAGGAAUGGGGGAAAGUAGUGGAGAAAGUUGUAUAGCAUAAAUCUAGGACGUGGUUCAAAGAGGAAAGGAAGUGGGGAAAGUACUAGUACAGACUGGCUAUCCAGCACCUACGUUGGUCGAAAAGGGAAAACAAUGACAAACGCAGUACGCACAUCUGUAACGAACUGAUCUUUUGUUUUGGGGGACAAGGCUGUAGAGUUUGAGCAGGACUAGAUUUGCUGCGCUCACAUAGGGAAAGGUGUCUAAAGAUACUAACAAAACUGGGACCAACACAAAUAUGCUCCUUGGCUGUUUGUUCUUUGUUGCAACAGACUGUGCAUCACCCUAGUACAUCGGUAGAUGCACAUGGUGCUGGUGCAUCCACUGUCUCGUGCAACUCUUUAGCUGUUGUUAAUCUAAGGCCCUGUUUGGUUAAAAACUCCCUAGUCCCUGCCUGCUUGGUUCCAGGGACUAAACAUGGACUAGAGGUUAUUAAAUGACAUGCUAAAAGACCAUGUUACCCCUAGUAAUGAACUAAUAUAGACAAGGUGCGAUGCGUGGCAGGGGCAACUGUUGGAAAGAGUCCCAAAAGGACUCUCCAUCGGGGUCUUCUUUCUUCAGUCCCAAAUGCCCACUUUUAGUCCCUAAAUGUCCCUCCUGUUUGGUUUAGAUGGGACUGACACGGAGUUUUUUUAGUCCCUCCACCAAAAGUCCCUGUAAACAAACACCCUCUAAUAAUGCCGCUGGAAAAUUGAUGCAAUGCCACAGUUAAAAGCAAAUUACAUGUUUAACGAAUUUUAUUGUUAAUAUAAUCUCUCUGUUAAUAUAAAUCAAUGCCACCAUUUGAGAAAUGCUACUGUCUUGCUUUCUUUCCCAUUUAGAUAAGGUAGAUGCUUCUUUUUGUUGGCUUCUGUGUCAUCCACCGUUAUUGACCACUAGUUGUUUCCUUUGCACCUCUAUGUAAACAGGGUUAUCUACUUCACCUCGUUGCCAUUGUGACCUUUUGUUGCACUGGACAAAACACUUUUGUUUUAAGAGUGUUUUGUGCAGUUCAACCAAAAUGUCACACCGACAACGUUGCUUGAUUGCUUGAUCUUAGUGGAACUGCACAAGAGGAGACCUUACUUCCUAUCCGUGUUGGCAAAUUUGGUUGAGAUCUUCUUCUUGUGAGUUGUUUGAAUUCCGCGUCAUGAGAGGUCAGUACUAGCCUUCUUUCACAUGAUUCUACACUAUGCUUUCAUAUGUUGUGCUACUUGUACGGUAAUGUUGCUUGAUUUUAGUGAACUGUACAAAUGGAGACAAGACUUCCAAUCUGUAUGUGCACCGUAAUAUCCCAUUAAGGUAAGAUAAGGAUAUUUCACAACUGUUGGCCUGUAUUUUGCCACUUUCAUCAGAAAAUUAAUGUCAUUGUUUAGUGCUAUACUUGUGCAACCUAAUUGACAUGCCAAAUCUUACAUUGAAGGCGAAGCUUGUCUGUUAUUGAACCAAGUGAUGAAGGGGAAGAACAAGCCGAAGAAAAACAAAAAUCAACUCAUGGUGCUGUAAUGAAGCAUUGGAACUGUGAUCACACAAGUAAUGAUAUAGUUUUGCAUCUUAAUUUAUUGCUAUGGCUGGAACGAGCAAUUGGUUUGCCACAGAUUUGAUGCCACUCUUAAUGUAAUACGUAAUUAUCUCUACUUGUGCAAACAGGGAUCUUCUUUGAAGAUACCAUAUAUUUUAGUGGAACUGCACAAGAAGAUGUUGGAAACAUUAAACUAAUCGAGGAGUAUAUAGUAAGCAUGGCCACCACAGUAGAUAGCAAUAGAUGGUUCUGGAGAAGUGCUUCAUCUGUAUGCUCUACACAAUAAGCCUCCUGACAAAGGUUGGUACUCGCCCACUGAUUUCAUCCAUAUGAUUGAGCUUUGUCAUCUCUAUUGGUGUUGUGCUACUGUUUAGAUACUGUCAUGAAAAAGUGGUAUUGUCCUUGAGAAGUGCUUCAUCUGUGCUGUUUUAAAUAUUUCCUUUCCUUUUUUCGAGAAAACAGGGAUGCUAGCAUUUAGUUGUCCUCUUGUCUUUGCACAACAGGAUCAUCCUCCUCUGAAGAAGAAUACGGAGUACGUGAAGUGACUAGUUCCGAUUAUGCCAGGAUGAAGAAGCCCAGUCUAUCUUCUCAUCAGAAGGAGCAGUUGAAGAAUGGUUACAUUACUCCCCACAAGACCAAACUAACUUCAGCUCAGAAGGACUGACAAAUCUCCAUUUUCUUGCUGUGAUGCGCGAGUACAAUGUUGUUCUAGGAUUCUUUCCGGUGAGUUCCAUUUUUCUAAAAGUGUGCUCUACAUGGACCAUGUAGGUGCCUGUUUAAACUGUCAAUUCAUAGUACAGUUUGCUUUAUACUAAUUUGUAUUUGUGCAAACGGGGGUGCUCAGCUUGAUUUCAAUGGGAACUGCACAAAAUGUUCAUGAAUACAUCGGAUCAUUCAUUUCCACCACAAGAAAGGAGGUGCCGAUAAGUUCAAGGCUUUGCAACAUAUAAGGGUGAAAUCAUACAAGCUACGCACGAAUUUGGUUGAUUUUGGUGGAACUACACAAAAAGAACAGCUGGUUUAUUUAGCACGAGGUGCCAUGUCAAUGUCCGAACUGAUGGCAAACCCUGCCCAUUCCACAAUCGUAGGCAUUUGAUAUUUUGGAAUGGGAAACCCUUGUCAAAUUUUGCUCAUUGAUUUUAGCAAGAAGACAUGCGUUUGAUAUUUUUGAAUGGGACGCCCUUUGCUGUCAGUAGCGUCGAUCCAUUUUUUCUUUAUUCUUUAGUUGUGAAAUAAAUAUUGGCUCUGACAUGUGAAUCGCUGAGAUGCAUAAUCAUUGAUUGUUUUGAAUGUUCUCUAUGAAUUGCCAGACCUGUGUGUUUGAUUGCAAUGUACAGGAACGCUAAAAAUCCGCUCAAACUCUUUGUACUCCUUCUGUUCCUUUUUACUUCGCACAUUGUGAAAGUGCAUACUUUUUUCUAUAAGAUUGGUCAAAGUAGAGAUACUUUGACUGCAGACAAAACGUGUAUGCAGACUAGAAAGGACCGGAGGGAGUACAUGUGAAACUGCUGCAAACAAGGUGAUCACCCUGGGAAUAAUGCUAGUACGUAUUGUUUUGCAUGUUCAUCCAAUGCCAGAGAUACAAGAAUUCGAACUAAUCGAAAUAAAUUCAUUCAUACACGGUCGGAUUUCAUAUAAACAUACCGGAUUUCAUUACAUUUCAUACAUUCUUCAACUAAAAAGGGGUGCGCUCGAGGUAUAAUUAAUUAACCGAAGCUACCCACAUGUGUCCGGCUGAGGCGAACAAAAGCUUCAGUGACUUAACUACAAGUGUAGUUGCGUAACUGACAUGUGGCCCAGAUGCUUGUUGGGCCCACGUGUCAGUCAGCCAACUGCACCAGCAGUUAAGUAGAAGUAGCGUCCUUCUCCAACAUAGCUCUCCGACUCCACGUCGCCGCCAAGAAGCUAACCGGUCGUCAGUGGUCAACCCGCCUAGCUUGGCUUCAACUGGAGGGUAGCAGUGGUGGCCUUACUUGGACCCAAGCGGUGGUGACCUACCGUGUUCCUCUUCCUCGUUUUCUGUGUGGCGCGGCCUCGCUGGCAGUGGGGCGGGGCCUCGGCGGAGCCGGCGAUGUCCUCUGUCUCAUUGCCGGCGGGCGGCGCCUCGGUGGAGCGGGGGAAAUCCUCCCCCUCGUUGCCGGCAGGGUGGGGCCUUGGCGGAGCCGGCGGUUUCCUCUGCCUCGUUGUUGGCGGAGCGGGGCCUCGUUGACGCCAGCGGAGCGGGGACUCGUCGGAGCCGGCAUUGUCCUCUGCCCCGUCCUUGGUCUCUCCAAACAGCGCCUCGCCCGCUUCAUCGCCCUCUUUGUAGGUGGCCGCAGCCUCCGCCACCCGCAUGCGGUACCGCCAGCGCUCGAGGCGGCCCUCGCGGGCGGAGCGGUAUGAGUCGAGCAGUGCCUCCUGCUCCGCCCGCUCCACGUCGAUCUACUCCUUUGCCUGCAGGUGCUCCUGGAGGAGAUGGUGGUUGUAGGCGGCGUCGUCUUGCGCCUCCCGGAACUGCUCCUCACACUUCUGCCUCAUCGUGUCCAUAUAUUGGGCACGGGCCUCCCCGAUGGUCAUGGUGCAAUGCACCGGCGAGGAUGGCGCGGAGGAGGGGGUUGGCGCCGGAUCGUCGACUACCAUGUUCUCCAUUGGGACGUCGUCGUCCUCCGGCUGCCUGCCGGCCAGCCAGUCGGCAACAAUGGCUGCCAUCUCCUUGUGGUCCGUCGUCCGCCCGUCCCGAAGAGCGCUGGAGCGCGAGGAAGCAAUUGUGGGCAGUAGUGGUGUGGACAGGAGAAAGGGAACGGAUGCGGAUGACUACGGCUAUGGCCGGCGCAGCAGCUUAUAUAGCAAUGGUGGGCGGCGGAGGGACGGACGUGUGGCGCCGGAGUAGCCGCCUCGGCAACCGCGUAUCAUUAAUGUGGGUGACAGAAGGACGGAUGGACGACACUUGUGUCAUUUGAAGGCGGACCAAUCGCUUGCACCGGGAAGCGGGGCGGGUGGCGCUGACCGUUUCGGGCGGAAAGCGCGCGCGAGCGAGGGAGGCGGUCUGGGUGGGCCAGGGCAGUCAGACUCGUGCUUGGCAGUGGGUCGGUCCAGCAGCCGGACAUGCUGGCUCGCCAGCUAGCUCGCCGAGCUGAGCAACGACAAUCAGACGAUGGACGUAGCUUCCGACCAGGAGCCGGCGCCACUGUCCAAGCCGGUUCAUGCCAUGUUCACCAUAGAGCAGGUGCGGCCGCACUUCGACGCCCUAAUGGCGGAAGAGCUACCAGCGCAGGAGGACCUGUGCUGCAACCUCCGUCUCCUCAACGAACACCGGUGAACAAGCGAACGACAAUGCCGUCGCGGACAUGUGGCCCUAUGAUCGUGGCUUCCCGAAUGAGCAGCGGACGCUGUAUCAGACCAUCUGUAGGGCCCGCGAGGCCCUCUCCGUCGUCCUUUGAGUUGUUGCGCUCGCCGUGGCGCCGCCGUCUCGCGUUGUCAACAUGGUCAACGGACAUGAGGAUGAGGAGAUGACUUUACUUGGAGAGGAUGACAGUGGGGGCCCACCAGGGCCAUAGCCACACGUACGCAAGUGCCUCCUUAUUAGUAUAUAAAACUAUAAUUUUUUUGCUUCCUCCUGGUUUCCUGACAUCACGGUCCCACACCAUUGUCAACCUAUGUAGUCAAUAAACGAGAGAAUUGCACAAGAAGCGGCCGACAGCCGGGACCAAGCAGCUCGAGCAGUAUUUGUGUUUUUGAGGUGUGAGCACUGCAGAGUUUUUCUCGAGCGAUGUUUAGCCCAGAUAUUAAUUUUUCUCCUCUGAACAACAACGAAAACAUCGCUACUGGUAUUAACUGGGCGGGUUGUGGCCCGUCUAGCCCAGGCCAGAUAUCCAGCCCAGAUAUUAAUUUUUUUAAGCUGAAAAUGGCUAGCCCAACUAUACUUUAUUUUAGGAAUACCCAGGCAAAGUCAAGUUGUUAUUCUCCGCCCCGCUGGGCUGCAAAUAUUUCCUAGGAGGGAUGCAUUAGGCUUAACAAGAAAAUGGGCUUUAAGAAAUAAUAAAUGGGAUGUAAUUAUAAAAACUGGGCAGUAACUAUAAAAAAUGCACCAAACACGUAAUUACUUUAUAAAAUAUUAUUUUUGGAUAUUGAAAAUUUUAAUUUCAUUAAUUGUUGCGAGCGCAAUGUUUCGUUGGAUUUCUACGUAAUAUAAAUUUAUAUUGAAAUUGUAUUUAAUCUGACUAGAAAUUUUGGGAUAAAAAUAUUUCGGAUCCCAUCAAAAUGUGGGAAAUUUUAUUGAAUUCUGUUUUGAACGGUUGGUUGAAAUGGGAUGUACUUUUAACAAACUGUAAAUGGGCUGUAGUAAAUUCCAUUAGAAUUCAAAAAUUGGCUGCACAUUCUUACAAAUCUCAAAUGGGCUAUAAGUUCUCUGCCACACACUUGUGGCCUUACUAAGUUGACGCGUCCCCUAAAAAAAGAGAGUUGACGCGUAUGCAAGGCUUUGUCAACUUAUAGUCAACACACGGUUCUAGCAGCAGUGGCCGUUGGAUGUCCAUCCAAUGGAUGUCGUGCUUCUUCUUCAAUCUUGGAUAUUCUAGCUUCACCCGCCCAAAAAAUGAUUCCUCCCCCUAACAUCUGGGGCGCACCGUUUUCGAAAGCUGACCUGUGGGCCUACUAGGUUGACGCGUAUCAAGGGUUUGUCAACUUAGUCAAUAUAAAUGAUUCUAGCUGCAGUGACCGUACGAUGUCCAUCCAACGGUCGUCCUGCUUCUUCAACCUCUGGUCUUCUUGCUCCAGCCGCCCAAAGCAGCGCCGGUCGUGCCGCCUGCUCCUGCCUCCCGUUGCCGGCUGUGCUGCCGCACAGGCCUCACCGCCCCUACUACUCCCACCGCUGGCCAGGGCAUCCCUCUACUCACCCACACCCCCUGUUAUUCUGCGGCGACGGUAGCCUCACACUACAGCCGAACCAGUGAACCCUCGUACUCCUCUCCGCGUGGGCAUCCACUGCCGCGUCUUCCCCGGCUCCGCGUCGUCCCCUUCCUAGGCCUCGCCGUUGUCCACCGCCCUGGUGCUCUCGGCGCGGCAUGGUCAACGUGGUCAAGGAACGACUUCCAUCCGAAGAGUACUGUACGUGGAGAGGCUAACCGAUGGGUCCACGGCAGCCACAAGGAAGUGCCUCCUUAUUACACGGAAAAUAAUUAUUCCUCCACCUGACAGCAGGGACCCACCGGACGGGCCACCGUAUUUGGCGAAAAAACGUUUCCCCCCUGACUGCUGGGACCCACCAGACGGGCCACCGUAUUUCACGAAAAAAACAUUCCCCCCGCUGUCAGCUCGGACCCAUCGGAAAUGCCUCCUUAUUACGCACAAAAAAAUGAAUACCCCCCUGCUAGUUGGGACCCACCUUUGUGGGAGGCUGACUUGUGGGCCUGCUAAGUUGACGGGGACGGAGUGCUUUGUCAACUUAGUCAAUAUGAACGAUUCUAGCUCCAGUGACCGUACGAUGUCCAUCCAACGGCCGUAGUGCUUCUUCAACCUCUGGUCUUCUUGCUCCAGCCGCCCAAAGCAGCGCCGGUCGUGUCGCAUGCUCCUGCCUCCCAUGGCCGGCUGUGUUGCCGCGGAGGCCUCACCGCCCCCUACUAUUCCCACCGCUAGCCAGGCCCUGCGGCGACGGCAGCCUCACACCGCAGCCGAACCAGUGAACCCUCGUACUCCUCCCCGCGCGGGCUUCCACUGCCGCGUCUUCCCCGGCUCCGCGUCUUCCCCGGCUCCGCGUCGUCCCCUUCCUAGGCCUCGCCGUUGUCCACUGCCCUGGUGCUCUCGGCGCGGCGUGGUCAACGUGGUCAAGGAACGACUUCCAUCGGAAGAGUACUGUAUGUGGAGAGGCUAACAGCUGGGUCCACGGCGGCCGCAAGGAAGUGCCUCCUUAUUACAUGCAAAAUAAUUAUUCCUCCACCUGACAGCAGGGACCCACCGGACGGGCAACUGUAUUUCGCAAAAAAAAAUGUUUCCCCCCUGACUGCUGGGACCUACCAGCUACAUCUUCACACGCAAGGAAGUGCGUCCGGGCAAAAAAACGAUUCGCCCCCCUGACUGCUGGGACCCACCAGCUACAUCUUCGCACGCAAGGAGUGCCUGACAGUCGGGACCCGCCUGGUCGAAGCGUACGUAGCGUUGUCAUUCUGGUCGCGAACGUCUACGUACAUACCGGUCGAUGUAGAGGCGCGCACGAGUCAUAGUAGAGGCGCGCACGUAGCAUCUACACGUACGUACAGCGGCCAGGGUGCAAGAAAGUAAAUACGGCCACGUACGUACAUACGGGCGGAGUCUCGAACGCCUACUCGCGCGUACGUACGGCCAGGGCUCAUGUACAUGGCCGAGUCAGAACGGAGAAACUGCAUCAUCGUCGUGUUCAUGGGGAGCCAACCGGCUGGGUCGGAACGGAAUGCGUCGUCGUGUUCAUCGGGAGGGCUUGGACGGAAUAGCCGAUGGAAACGAGGCCUGGCAUACCGCAGAACGGAGGAAACGGCCUUGUGUUCGACCGGCCACGUUCGAAAUGGGAUCCUGUUCAUCGGGAGGGGUCUGGCAUACCGCAAAACGGAGGAAACGGACCUCCUACGGUCGAAACGGGGGUCCUGUUGAUCGGGAGGGGUGUGGCGUACCGCAAAAUAGAGGAAAUUGACUUGUGUUGGAGCGCUACGGUCGAAACGGGGGUCCUGUUCAUUGGGAGGGGUGUGGCGUACCGCAAAACGGGACUCCACGGGAUACUGUUCAUCUCCACCGUCGACCCCCUCCAGCCUCCACGGGCUACUGUUCAUCCACCGUCGACCUCCUCCAGCCUCCACCUGUGACUGUUCAUCCACGGGCUCUUGUUCAUCCAGCCUCCACCGCGCGCUACUCCACCGGCUACUGUUCAACCAGCCCUCUGCACGGGCUCCUGUUCAACCACCCCUCCACGGGCUACUGUUCAUCCAGCCCUCCACCGUCUACUGUUCAUCCAGCCCUCCAUGGGGUGGUCCUGUUCAUCCAGCCCUCCACAGGGUCCUGUUCAUCCAGCCCCAACCGGCUCGAUCGAUCGGGGUCCUGUUCAUCCAGAUGCAACACCACGGCGUCCUGUUCAUCCACCCCCACCGGGAACUGUUCAUCCAAACCACCCCAGCAACGCUCACUGUUCAUCCAGAGGCAGCAUCGAUCGUCUUCAGUUAGCAGCAAUAGCGAAGGAAUCGCUCGAUCGGGUUCAGUUAACAGCCAUCGAUCGAUCGCUUGGGUUCAGUAACGCAUACUUGCAGUGCAAUCGUCCGGGUUCAGUUAGAGCCCAACGCCUCGCUCGGGUUCAGUUAGAGCCCAACGCCUCGCACCCACGCGCGUGCGUGUACGAGAGAAACGCGCAUCGCUCGGCCCUGACCACCCACCGUAACCGGGAACACCCCGAUAUUUUCCUCGCCCUCGCGUCUACCACGGUUUUUUCCGUCAUGGACGGCCCAAAGAAUGUCAUGCAGCUGCGUCUCCAGCCCGCCCAGGACGAAAAGCCCAUUUUCUGUCAUGAUUUUUUUGGCAUAGAAGUAGGAGCCCACCACAUCUAUGAUGAUACCAGGUUUUGUCACAAUUAUCGUCAUAGAAGUGUCAUAAGUAGGACAGAAAAAAAUUCAUUCGGCCCAAAAUGUCACGGAUGUGUCUUCUUUUUGUAGUUCUCGUGGACCCCCCAGACUUGUUCCCGACGCCAACACCUCUUAUAUAUCCAAAAACUUCCAGAACAUAACCUGGACCGGGAGUUCCGCCGCCGCAAGCCUCUGUAGCCACCAAAAACCAAUCGGGACCCUGUUCCGGCACCCUGCCGGGGGGAUCCCUCACCGGUGGCCAUCUUCAUCAUCCCGGCGCUCUCCAUGAUGAGGAGGGAGUAGUUCACCCUCAAGGCUGAGGGUAUGUACUAGUAGCUACGUGUUUGAUCUCUCUCUCUCGUGUUCUUGAUUCAGCACGAUCUAUAUGUAUCGCGAGCUUUGCUAUUAUAGUUGGAUCUUAUGAUGUUUCUCCCCCUCUACUCUCUAAUAAUGGGUUGAGUUUUCCCUUUGAAGUUAUCUUAUCGGAUUGAGUCUUUAAGGAUUUGAGAACACUUGAUGCAUGUCUUGCAUGGGAUACCCGUGGUGACAAUGGGGUAUUCUAUUGAUUCACUUGAUGUAUGUUUUGGUGAUCAACUUGCGGGUUCCGUGACCUUGGGAAUCUAUGCAUAGGGGUUGGCACACGUUUUCGUCUUGACUCUCCGGUAGAAACUUUGGGGCACUCUUUGAAGUUCUUUGUGUUGGUUGAAUAGAUGAAUCUGAGAUUGUGUGAUGCAUAUCGUAUAAUCAUACCCACGGAUACUUGAGGUGACAUUGGAGUAUCUAGGUGACAUUAGGGUUUUGGUUGAUUUGUGUCUUAAGGUGUUAUUCUAGUACGAACUCUAGGAUAGAUCGAACGGAAAGAAUAGCUUUGUGUUAUUUUACUACAGACUCUUGAAUAGAUCGAUCAGAAAGAAUAACUUUGAGGUGGUUUCGUACCCUACAAUAAUCUCUUCGUUUGUUCUCCGCUACAAGUGACUUUGGAGUGACUCUUUGUUGCAUGUUGAGGGAUAGUUAUAUGAUCCAAUUAUGUUAUUAUUGUUGAGAGAACUUGCACUGGUGAAAGUAUGGACCCUAGGCCUUGUUUCAACGCAUUGCAAUACCGUUUGUGCUCACUUUUAUCAUUAGUUACCUUGCUGUUUUUAUAUUAUCAGAUUACAAAAAUCUAUAUCUACCAUCCAUAUUGCACUUGUAUCACCAUCUCUUCGCCGAACUAGUGCGCCUAUACAAUUUACCAUUGUAUUGGGUGUGUUGGAGACACAAGAGACACUUCGUUAUUUGGUUGCAGGGUUGUUUGAGAGAGACCAUCUUCAUCCUACGCCUCCCACGGAUUGAUAAACCUUAGGUCAUCCACUUGAGGGAAAUUUGGUACUGUCCUACAAACCUUUGCACCUGCAGGCCCAACAACGUCUACAAGAAGAAGGUUGUGUAGUAGACAUCAAGCAAUUUCUGGCACCGUUGCCGGGGAGGUGAGUGCUUGAAGGUAUAUCAUUAGAUCUUGCAAUCGAAUCUUUUUGUUUCUUGUUUUUAGCACUAGUUUAAUUCAUAAAAGAAAACUACAAAAAAUUUGAAUUGAGUUUGUCUCAUACGCUUCAUCUUUUUAAUAUCUUUCGUAAGUAUGAUGAAAAGGAAAAUUGUGCUCAAGUGCUAGAACAAGAAGUCUAUAAAAUGUUUGGCACUAAAUCUUUGAAUGAUGAGCAUGAUUGCAAUGUUGUUAGUAUGAACUCUUUGAAUAUCCAUAGUACUAAUGAUGAUUGCACUAUUUAUGAUGAAAAUGUCUCCUAUAAACAUGUCAAUUUUUCUUGAGUGCAUUGGGUUUGCAAGUACACACCAAAUAGGGAAGAUAAUGAUACUUCUUAUGAUCUUGAAAAUCUUUUUGGCACUUGCUUGGAAGAAUAUGAUAAUAAUGUUUGCUAUAUUAUUGGUGCUAUCCAUACUAUUAAUGAUGAGAGUGAUUAUGCUUAUGAUAUGCAAAGGCCCAAGCUUGGGGUGCUAUGUUUGAUGAGAAUGACAUGUUUGAGAAUAUAUUUGCUGAAAUUAAUGUUUGUCCCAAGCUUGGGGAUGCUACGUUUAAUGAAGAUGAUAUUUUUAGCCUCCCAAGUUUUGAUGAGAAAAUUUAUUAUGAGGAUAGCAUGCCUCCUACUUAUGAUUAUUAUAUUGAUGAAAGUGGAUUUGGAGGGGUCAUGACUUUAUUUAGUGAUGAUUCCACUAUCUUGGAAGAGGUUUCAAUCGAUUAUGAUGAGAACAAAGUUGCUACUUAUGAUGAUUAUUGUGAUGAAACUUAUGCUAUAAAAAGUAGUGAUGACUAUAUUUAUAAAAUUUGUCAUGAUUAUGAUUCCCCUUUUUCUGAACAUUACUCUUUUAAUGUGGAAACAAUUUAUAGUAUUCAAGUCUCUUAUGAUACUCCCACUAUCCCGAAUGAGAAGAAUUUUGCUUAUGUGGAGAGUAGUAAAUUUUCUAUGCUUGUAGAUCAUGAAAAUAAUGCUUUAGGUGCUGGUUAUAUUGUUGAAUUCAUUCAUGAUGCUACUGAAAAUUAUUAUGAGGGAGGAAUAUAUGCUUGUAAGAAUUGCAAUAAUAUCAAGUUUCCUCUUUAUGUGUUGAAAAUUUUGAAGUUAUGCUUGUUUUGCCUUCCUAUGCUAGUUGAUUAUUGUUCCCAUAAAUUGUUUGCUCACAAAACCCCUAUGCAUAGGAAGAGGGUUAGACUUAAAUGUGCUAGUCAUAUUCUUCAUGAUGCUCUCUUUAUGUUUCAAUUCUUAUCUUUUAUGUGAGCAUCAUUGAAAUCAUCAUGCCUAGCUAGGGGCGUUAAACGUUAGCGCUUGUUGGGAGGCAACCCAAUUUUAUUUUAGUCUCUUGCUUUUUGGUUCUAUUUAGUAAUAAAUAACUCAUCUAGCUUAUGUUAAGAUGUGGUUUUAUGUUUAGUUAGUGUUUGUGCCAAGUAAGACCUAUAGGAUCUUCUUGGAUGAUAGUUAUUUGAUCUUGCUGGAAAUUCCAGAAACUUUCUGUUCACGAAAACAAUUGUUUAAAAUCACCAGAACGUGAUAAAAUACUGAUUCCAAUUGAAUCAGAUCAAUAAUCAAAUUAUCUAGGUCAUCCUAUUUUGGUAGAAUUUUUUGAGUUCCAUAAGUUUGCGUUUGAUACAGAUUACUACAGACUGUUCUGUUUUUGACAGAUUCUGUUUUCUAUGUGUUGUUUGCUUAUUUUGAUGAAUCUAUGAGUAGUAUCGGAGGGUAUGAACCAUAGAUAAGUUGGAAUACAGUAGAUAUUACAUCAAUAUGAAUUUAGAAUGAGAUCGUUACAGUACCUUGAAGUGGUGUUCUGUUUUCUUUCGCUAACGGAGCUCACAUGUUUUCUGUUAAGUUUUGUGUUGUGAAGUUUUCAAGUUUUGGGUAAAGAUUCGAUGGACUAUGGAAUAAGGAGUGGCAAGAGCCUAAGGUUGGGGAUGCCCAAGGCACCCCAAGGUCAUAUUCAAGGACAACCAAGAGCCUAAGCUUGGGGAUGCCCCGGAUGGCAUCCCCUCUUUCGUCUUCGUUCAUCGGUAACUUUACUUGGAGCUAUAUUUUUAUUCACCAUAUGAUAUGUGUUUUGCUUGGAGCGUCAUUUUAUUUUUGUUUAGCCUUGCUUGCUGUUUGAAUAAAAUACCAAGAUCUGAAAUUUUUAAAUGAGAGAGAGUCUUCACAUAGCUACAUAAUUAUUUAACUACUCAUUGAUCUUCACUUAUAUCUUUUUGGAGUAGUUUGUCAUUUACUCAUGUGCUUCACUUAUAUCCUAUGAGUAAAUGGUUGAAUGAUUUGAAUGUCAUAAAUAUGAAAUUAUAUAUGUUUCAUAUGCUUAUCCCAUGGGGAGUAAUGCCUUCACAUAUAAGAAGUAGAGGUGGUAAAUUUUUUGAAGGUUAGCAAACAUUGUAUUGGUCACUUGAACAAUUCAUGAAAGAAUAUUGAAGGAAGAGAGAUUUCACAUAUAAAUAUACUAUCUUGGACAUAUUCUAUGAUUGUGAGCCCCAUUAAUUAUUUUCAAACCUGAGCAAAUUAGUUGAAGUUGGACAAGGAAGACAACAUAAUGAGUUAUGCUUGGGUAUAUUUGUAUAGAAGUUAUAUUUUUAUGGAUCCUCUAACAUGUGGUGCUUGCUAUUUAGAAUCUUUUGCUAGCCAAAAUAUCUGUACUAAGCGGGAAUACUGCUUGUGCAUCCAAAUUCCUUGAACCAAGUUUCUUCCAUGAGUGUCCACAAUAUCUACCUAUAUGCGGUAUUUACCUGCCGUUCCAAGUAAAUUUGCAUGUGCCAAACUCUAAACCAUCAAAUAAUAAUCUGUUUUGUAUGCCCGAAUCGCUCAUGUAGCGACUAGGGGCUGUCAGUAUCUUCCAUGCUAGGUGGGUUAUUCUCAUGAUGAGUGGACUCCGCUCAUCAUUCACGAGAAAAUGGCUGGUAACUGGGAUGCCCAGUCCUAUGAUCAAAAGAUCAAAAAUAAAUUCGCAAAUAAUUUAAACAAAACUCCCCCGGGAAUGUUGAUAGUUGGACGGCACCCGUUGUUUCGGACAAGCCGUGGAGUGUGAAUGUUGGUGGAGGGGGAGUAAAAACUUUACCUUUCUGCGUGGGAACCGCCUAUAAUGUAUCUAGUAUGGAAGAUAUUGGGAACUCUUGGUCUUUAUGUUGACAAUGAAAGCAUACCUCUCAAAAUUAUUUUCAUCUAUGUUUUUGCUUCGAGCUCUGGCACCUCUACAAAUCCCUGCUUCCCUCUGCGAAGGGCCUAUCUUUUACUUUUAUGCAAGAGUCAGUAGUAUUCCUUCUCAUUCCAACCUACUCUUUAGUUGGCAAGCAUCAUGUGAUGGAAAGAUCUAAGCAUAUAUGGCCAUUCAAAUAUAUUUGAGCAUGAAUUAUUAUUGUUGACAUUACCCUUGAGGUAAAAGGUUGGGAGGCGAAACAUUAAGCCCCUAUCUUUCUCUGUGUUCGAUGAAUACUCUUUGUUCUAAAAAUAUGCUUUGAGUGGUAGCAAUCAUGGAAGACUAAAUGAUAGUUGAGUAUGUGAAGUUUGCGGAAUCAAAGCUCUGACAUAGACUCUUCCUGAAAAUAAGAUGAGUUGUAAUUGUUUGAUGACUAAUAACACGGUUUGUUAGUUUUCAAGAAAGUUUAUGAUCUAUACUUUAACAUGUCAAUAGUUUGUUACUUGAUCAUGCAAAGUUUUAUGAUAUGAGCUACUGUUAUGACAUAUAAUGAUGCUAGAAAAGGUGAUUGAAAUUAUCAUUGAUCAAACUUGUGCACCUGCUAGCAUUCACACUUCAUAAAUUCUUUCUUUUAUCAUUUACCUACUCGAGGACGAGCAGGAAUUAAGCUUGGGGAUGCUGAUACGUCUCCAACGUAUCUAUAAUUUAUGAAGUAUUCAUGCUAUUAUAUUAUCCAUCUUGCAUGUUUAAUGGGCUUUACUAUGCACUUUUAUAUUAUUUUUGGGACUAACCUAUUAACCCAGAGCCCAGUGCCAGUUUCUGUUUUUCUCCUUGUUUCAGUGUUUCGCAGAAAAGGAAUAUCAAACGGAGUCCAAACGGAAUGAAACCUUCGGGAGAGUUAUUUUUGGAACGGAAGCAAUCCAGAAGACUUGGAGUGUACGUAAGGGAAGCAACGAGGAAGGCACGAGGCAGGGGGCGCGCCCACCCCACCCCCCCAGCACGCCCUCCACCCUCGUGGGCCCCUCGUGGCUUCCCUGACCGACUUAUUUUGCCUAUAUAUAUCCAUAUACCCUAAAAACUUCGGGGAACAGAAUAGAUCGGGAGUUCCGCCGCCGCAAGCCUCUGUAGCCACCAAAAACCAAUCGGGACCCUAUUCCGGCACCCUGCCGGAGGGGGAUCCCUCACCGGUGGCCAUCUUCAUCAUCCCGACGCUCUCCAUGACGAGGAGGGAGUAGUUCACCCUCGGGGCUGAAGGUAUGUACCAGUAGCUAUGUGUUUGAUCUCUCUCUCUCUCGUGUUCUUGAGACGGUAGGAUCUUGAUGUAUCGCGAGCUUUGCUAUUAUAGUUGGAUCUUAUGAUGUUUCUCCCCCUCUACUCUCUUGUAAUGGAUUGAGUUUUCCCUUUGAAGUUAUCUUAUCGGAUUGAGUCUUUAAGGGUUUGAGAACACUUGAUGUAUGUCUUGUCGUGCUUAUCUGUGGUGACAAUGGGAUAUCACGUGAUCCACUUGAUGUAGGCUUUGGUGAUCAACUUGCGGGUUCCGCCCAUGAACCUAUGCAUAGGGGUUGGCACACGUUUUCGUCUUGACUCUCCGGUAGAAACUUUGGGGCACUCUUUGAAGUACUUUGUGUUGGUUUGAAUAGAUGAAUAUGAGAUUGUGUGAUGCAUAUCGUAUAAUCAUACCCACGGAUACUUGAGGUGCCAUUGGAGUAUCUAGGUGACAUUAGGGUUUUGGUUGAUUUGUGUCUUAAGGUGUUAUUCUAGUACAAACUCUAUGAUAGAUUGAACGGAAAGGAUAGCUUCGUGUUAUUUUACUACAGACUCUUGAAUAGAUCGAUCCGAAAGAAUAACUUUGAGGUGGUUUCGUACCCUACAAUAAUCUCUUCGUUUGUUCUCUGCUAUUAGCGACUUUGGAGUGACUCUUUGUUGCCUGUUGAGGGAUAGUUAUAUGAUCCAAUUAUGUUAUUAUUGUUGAGAGAACUUGCACUAGUGAAAGUAUGAACCCUAGGCCUUGUUUCAACGCAUUGCAAUACCGUUUGUGCUCACUUUUAUCAUUAGUUACCUUGCUGUUUUUAUAUUUUCAGAUUACAAAAACCUAUAUCUGCCAUCCAUAUUGCACUUGUAUCACCAUCUCUUCGCCGAACUAGUGCACCUAUACAAUUUACCAUUGUAUUGGGUGUGUUGGGGACACAAGAGACUCUUUGUUAUUUGGUUGCAGGGUCGCUUGAGAGAGACCAUCUUCAUCCUACGCCUCCUACGGAUUGAUAAACCUUAGGUCAUCCACUUGAGGGAAAUUUGCUACUGUCCUACAAACCUCUGCACUUGGAGGCCCAACAAUGUCUACAAGAAGAAGGUUGUGUAGUAGACAUCAGUCGUCAAGUGGUUGAUCAGCUCUCGCCGCAUCAUGACAGUCAGUUUUCGGCUUUCUCUACUGAGGUGCUCGUCCGGUUUAGACCAGGGCACAAUCGCAGUAGUUCUCCCUUUACUACCCUAGCCGAUAGAGCGGGACGUAGGGUAGCAAGCACAGGAGCCGGGUAACCCAAAUAUUGACCCAAGACAAUGAUUCGGAGCUGAUGCAUAUAAGGCCAAACUUGCGACGCCGAAGUACGCUAUAGAGCUGUUCGGACUUUUGCUGGCAACUCUUUCGUUCCCAUACCGAGCCCCUGGCAGGGUAUGCCGAGGUGCAUCUCUAACGCAGCCGUUGAGGCCGUACUCAUUGUUGCAAGAUUAUGAAAGAUUAGUUCGGACGAGGUUUACUGGGAGCGGAGCAAUACGCCAAUGACGAAUUUAUGUAUAUAUAUAAUAAUAAUAAAAAGAAACCACAAGCCCGACUAUUUGACAUGCUCGGGGUCGGGUACGGAGGAAAAAAAAGGCUUAGUACAGGCUCGGAAUAAAGAGUGCGGUCUACAAAAAGUUAUUUUGGACCUCAUGUCGCACAUCUGCGCCGCCCGUCCUCGGGGAGGGGAAUCCUUAAUGGAAGUAGCCCCUUAGGUGAGUGUAUGGAUCCGAACUCCGAUAGAGUCCGUUGUAGAUGCUGUCGUGUUGGUCACCUGUUCUUAAGAAAUGAUACAGAAAAAUAAGAAAAAACGGAUAGAAACGUUACGGGGAUUCUUGCAGGGUUGUCCAUAUUGUGCUUCCGCUGAUGCCCAUGGUAUCUUGAGUGUGUAGUGAUGUACGCGCGGUGUGAAUCUCGCCGGUAUGGUAGGUGGGUGGCGGAAGCCGAACUACUAUUUCCAUUCCGGGAGUGGUCGAACUUCGGAGGGAAACUGCUUCUGGCCCCUGAUAUUCGGCUGGAGCGGCUCGAGGACCCAACAGUUAGCUAGCUUAUCAGGAUGACCGUGAAUCUGACAAGGUCGGUCCAAUAUUCUGUCAAGGGUGGAUGAUCCAUCCUGGUUUGCCUUUAGUGGCUUCUUCUGUUGACCGGGUUUCGGAUUGUGAAAUCCGGCGUUGACCGCUGUGUCGCAUAAUCUUUCAGUAUUAUUGCGACUGUUGUGUUCGGUUCGUCGUGGCUUACCGUUGCCGUCUCAAAUUUCGGAAGUGCCCGGGUCGCUGGCGUCGUUGCUUUUACGAGCGAGCCAGUUGUCUUCUCCCGCACAAAAGCGAGUCAUCAGAGCGGUAAGGGCUGUCAUGGAUUUGGGUCCUUCCUGGCCGAGGUGACGCGCUAGCCAUUCAUCCCGGACGCCAUGUUUGAAGGCUGCGAGGCUUCUGCGUCCGGACAGUCGACAAUUUGGUUCUUUUUGACUAAGAACCUAGUCCAGAGCUCCCUGGCUGACUUGCCGGGCUUCUGGACAAUAUGACUUAAGUCAUCGGCAUCUAGUGGCCGGACAUAUGUUCCUUGGAAGUUGUCUCGAAAGGCGUCUUCCAAGUCUUCCCAGCUACCAAUAGAAUUUUCUGGCAAACUGUUUAGCCAGUACCGAGCUGGCCCUUUAAGCUUGAGAGGUAUGUAUUUAAUGGCAUGAAGGUCGUCUCCGCGAGCCAUGUGGAUAUGGCGGAGGUAAUCCUCAAUCCAUACCGCGGGAUCUGUUGUUCCAUCGUAUGAUUCGAUGUUAAUGGGUUUAAACCCGUCUGGAAAUUCAUGCUCCAUUACCUCGUCGGUGAAGCAGAGAGGGUGUGUGGCUCCUCUAUGUUGAGCCACACUAUGAAGCACCUCCGGCGGACUCUGUUUACGGAGUUCGGACCGAGCGUGGUCGGCUCUCUUGUGUCCGAAUAGGUGACCAUCAUUACCGGUCGGGGCAUGUCCCCGCGAUCUGUGUAUUGACUUUGUGUGUCCUGUUCUACCCUCCAGGUCCUGUUGGAUGUCGCGAGUGUUCCCCCGAGCUGUGUUGUUCUUGUUUUGACGGCCGGAUGGGUUGGUAUGAUGCUCUGCUUGGGUUGGUGCUUUGUCCGGACCGAACUGUGGUCGGCCUACAGCCUUAUUCGAUGGUGGUGUGGGCUCCAACGCCCUGCCAUCGUAUUGAGGGGGCCACCUGCUGUUGGGGUGGCUCUUGUCUGGGCCGAUAAGGCCGUAUUCUUCGGCGGCCAAGACCUCGGUCCAUCUACCAUUGAGCAAAUCUUGGCUCGCUUGAAGCUGCAGUUGCUUCUUUCUUAGGCUCCUUGUAGUGGCUAUGAGCUGGCGUUUAAAGCACUCCUGCUCGAGAGGUUCCUUAGGCACGAUAAAAUUCUCGUUGUCGAGGAUCUCCUCUUCCUCGGAGAGUGGGAGAUAAAUUCUAUCCUCUGAGUCUCCAUAUGUUUCCUGUUCAUCAGGGUUGUCUUGCCCGCCUUCCUGUUUCUCCUGUUCGGAUCCUACCUCAACAGGGUCUUCAUCGUCCAGAGUGUUGUCUUCUCCGAUGCUAGUGUUAUUUUCUCUUGAGAGUCGUGACUUGGAGCGGCGCGAGGCGCGCCGGUGUUUGGACUGUGCACCAGGAGGUUUAUCCUCAACUAGGUCCUCCUUGUCAUCGUCGAAAGCGUCGUUGGGUGUGUCUAUCAUACACACGUCGUACCAUGAAGUGGUCAUCCUGCGUCUAGCGGGUAGUGAGUUCUGGCCUUGCCUCUCAUCAUCGUCCGUACCGUUGAUGUCUUCGGGGCCGAGGUCAAGCGUGUUGGUUGGGUCUUCGACAGUGGCUAUGAAGUGGGUGGUGGGUGGGAAGCAAAAUUCUCCAUCAUCAGCCGUAAGUUCGAGCCGAACAUAGUUCGGUGGUGAGUUGCCUGCCAGAGAUAGGUUUUUUAGUGAGUUUAGUACAUCGCCCAUGGGCGAGUGUUGGAAGGCGUUUGCGGCGCUAAACUUGAAGAUCGAUAACCGAUUGAGUUUGGCAUCUGCGGACUUGCAGGGUUCAGAACCUGUCGCCGGGGACGAGUCCGGGGUUCUGCUGAUGCGGAUAUCAUACGCAGUAGAAUCUGUGUGCGCUCUAACGCCACGGAAUCGGUAGCCCCCAUGAUGGGGUUGAGCUUCCAUCCUGGGACGACUUGAUCUACUCCGGAUCUAAGGCCAGAGUUGCGGCAGGAGCUAUCUCCUGGAUGUGGCCCAAUGACAGGUUUAAGCCAUGUCCAUCGAGGCGGCGGGGAGCGAUUGCCGCGGUCUCGAAUCCGUCGAAGAUCAAGUCUCCACGGACGUCCGCAACGUAGUUUAAGCUUCCAAAUCUGACCUGAUGGUCAGGGGCGUAGCUGUCGAUCUGCUCUAGAUGGCCAAGCGAGUUGGCCCGCAGUACGAUGCCGCCGAACACGAAGAUCUGUCCGGGGAGAAAGGUUUCUCCCUGGACAACGUCAUCAUCGACGAUUGAAGGGGCCGUCGAACCUUUUGUCGACGGCACAGUGGAACUCUCAAUGAAAGCACCAAUGUCGGUGUCAAAACUGGCGGAUCUCGGGUAGGGGGUCCCGAAUUGUGCGUCUAGGAUCGAUGGUAACAGGAGACGGGGGACACGAUGUUUACCCAGGUUCGAGCCCUCUCUAUGGAGGUAAUACCCUACUUCCUGCUUGAUUGAUCUUGAUGAAUAUGAGUGUUACAAGAGUUGAUCUACCACGAGAUCGUAAUGGCUAAACCCUAGAAGUCUAGCCUAUGUGAAUAUGGUAAUAAAUGUGUCCUAUCCGGACUAUGCUCUCCGAUUUAUAUAGACACCGGAGAGAUCUAGGGUUACAUGGAGUCGGUUACAUAAGAAGGAAUCUUCACAGCUGGUCGCCUAGCUUGCCUUCCACGCCAAGGAAAGUCCAAUCCGGACACGGUAUAGUCUUCGGCCUUCGUAUCUUCACAGCCCAUCUGUCCGGCCCAAUGAAUAACAGGCUGGACGCCUGAGGACCCCUUAGUCCAGGACUCCCUCACCAGCCGGGUCUUUGCAUCAUUUAAUUGAGAUUCCAGUUCAGCAGUAGCAGCCUGUAUGAAGUACAGAGUUAUCAACACAUUUAUAUCAGGGUUACAAGAAUAUAAGUCCCAAGUCUUUUGCAAGCAACAACACUUGGCACUUGGGGGCUAAUGUUUGUCAAAGAAAUUUUCAAGGAAACGACUCUUAUAAAGUUCCAAGCACUACGGGAAUCACAAACUUUAACACAAGUAUUUCUACAAUCCACAAUUACUCACUAGCAUGACUCUAGUAUCACCAUCUUUAUAUCUCAAAACGAUCACAAGGAAUCAAACUUCUCAUAGUAUUCAAUGCACUCUAUAUGAAAGUUUUUAUUAUAUCCCUCUUGGAUGCCCAUCACAUUAGGACUAAAUUCAUAACCUAAGCAAGUUACCAUGUUGUUUAGCGACUCUCAAAAAGAUAUAAAUGAAGCAUGAGAGUUCAACAAUUUCUACAAAAUAAAACCACCGCCGUGCUCUAAAAACAUAUAAGUGAAGCACUAGAGCAAAUGACAAACUACUCCAAAAGAUAUAAGCGAAGCACAAUGAGUAGUUGAAUAAUUAUGUAGCUAUGUGAAGACUCCUUCUCAUAAAUAAAAUUUCAGAUCUUAAGUACUUUAUUCAAACAGCAAGCAAAACAAAAUAAAAUAACAUUGCAAGUAUAGCACAUAUCAUGUGAAGAAGCAAAAACUUAGGCUCAACAAAAACUGACCGAUAGUUGUUGAGGAAGAAAGGUGGGAUGCCAACCGGGGAACCCAAGCUUAGAUGCUUGAUACUUAUUGAAAUAUUAACUUGGGAUGCCUUGGACAUCCCCAAGUUUGAGCUUUUGUGUCUCCUUAAUUCCUUUCAUAUCGCGGUUUCCCUAAAUCUUAAAAACUCCAUCCACACAAAACUCAACAAGAACUCGUGAGAUAAGUUAGUACAAAUCAAUGCAUAAACCUUAUCAUUCUUUACUGUAGCAAAUUACUAAAAAUAUUAUUUAACGUUGCAUACUAAAUGCCUCUGCAUAUUUAAUACUCCUAUCCUUAAAUAGAAUCAUUAAACAAGCAAACAUAUGCAAACAUAACAGCAAUCUGUCUAAACAGAACAGUCUAUAAAGAAUGCAAGAGGAAUCAUACUUCCCUAACUUCAAAAAUUCUCACAAAUUACCACACUGUAGAAAUUUGUUGUUACUCAUGGUGUAAAAAUUUCAAGAUUUUAUCACAUUCUGACUUUCCAGAAGAAUUCAGACAAUGAUAGAAAACUUUCUGUUUUCAAAAUAGCAACAUAUAGACUUGCAAAAUAAGCAUGGUGAAGGCUAUACUUGACCUUUUUAUUGAAAUAAAAGAUGCAAAACAUUACUCUAAAUAAUAGCAAGCAAAUCCUAAUAAAAUAAAAUAGGUUACCGAUGAACGAAGACGAAAGAGGGGAUGCCAUCUGGGGCAUCCCCAAGCUUAGAUGCUUGGUUGUCCUUGAAUAUUACCUUGGGGUGCCUUGGGCAUCCCCAAGCUUAGGCUCUUGCCACUCCUUAUUCCGUAGUCCAUCGAAACUUCACCCAAAACUUGAAACCUUCACAACACAAAACUCAACAGAAAACUCGUAAGCUCUGUUAGUAUAAUAAAGAAAAUCACCAGUUAGGUACUGUUGUGAACUCAUUCUAAAUUUAUAUUGGUGUUAUAUCUAAUGUAUUCCAACUUCUCCAUGGUUCAUACCCUCCGAUACUACUCAUAGAUUCAUCAAAAUAAGCAAACAACACAUAGAAAACAUAAUCUGUCAAAAACAGAACAGUCUGUAGUAAUCUGGAAACUUUCCAUACUUCUGUAACUCCAAAAAUUCUGAAACAUUAGGACAACAGAGGCAAUUUGUAUGUCAAUCUUGCGUAAAAAAUUCAGAAUUUUGUCACGCUCCAGUGAAUUUUCAAAAUUAUGCAACUGGACGCAAAAGUUUCUGUUUUUCAGCAAGAUCAAAUCAACUAUCACCAUAGAUCAUCCCAAAGGUUUUACUUGGCACUUUAUUGAAAAAAAAAGCUAUAAAACAUGAUUACUACAGUAGCUUAAUCAUGUGAACACACAAAAACAGUAGGGGUAAAUGUUGGGUUGUCCCCCAACAAGCGCUUUUCUUUAAUGCCUUUUUAGCUAGGCAUGAUGAUUUCAAUUAUGCUCACAUAAAAGAUAAGAAUUGAAACAUAAUGGGAGCAUAAUCAAGCAUAUUACUAGCACAUUUAAGUCCAACCCACUUCCUAUGCAUAGCGAUUUUGUGAGCAAACAAUUUAUGGGAGCAAGAAUCAACUAGCAUAGGAAGGUAAAGCAAGCAAAACUUCAAAUUUUCAACACAUAGAGAGGAAACUUGAUAUUAUUGCAAUUCCUACAAGCAUAUAUUCCUCCCUCAUAAUAAUUUUCAGUAGCAUCAUGAAUGAAUUCAACAAUAUAACUAUCACAUAAAGCAUUGUUUUCAUGAUACAUAAGCAUCGAAUUUUUAUUACUCUCCACAUAAGCAAAUUUAUUCUCAUGAAUAGUAAUGGGAGCGAACUCAACAAAAUAACUAUCAUGUGAGGCAUAAUCCAAUUGAAAAUUAAAAUCAUGACGACAUGUUUCAUGGUAAUCAUUGUUCUUUAUAGCAUACAUGUCAUCACAAUAAUCAUCAUAGAUAGAAGGCAUGCUUUCAUCAUAAUAAAUUGCUCAUCAAAACUUGGGGGACAAAAAAUAUCAUCUUCAUCAAACAUAGCAUCCCCAAGCUUGUGGCUUUGCAUAUCAUUAGCAUCAUGGAUAUUCAAAGAAUUAAUACUCACAACAUUGCAAUCAUGCUCAUCAUUCAAAUAUUUAGUACCAAACAUUUUAUAGACUUCUUCCUCUAACACUUGAGCACAAUUUUCCUUUUCAUCAUUUUCACGAAAGACUUUAAAAGAUGAAGCAUAUGAGGCAACUUCAAUUCCAUUUUUUUGUAGUUUUCUUUUAUAGAUUAAACUAGUGAUAAAACAGGAAACUAAACGAUUCGAUUGCAAGAUCUAAAGAUAUACCUUCAAGCACUAACCUCCCCGGCAACGGCGCCAGAAAAGAGCUUGAUGUCUACUAUGCAACCUUCUUCUUGUAGACUCUAGUUGGGCCUCCAAGCGCAGAGUUUUGUAGGACAAUAGCAAAUUUCCCUCAAGUGGAUGACCUAAGGUUUAUCAAUCCAUGGGAGGCGUAGGAUGAAGAUGGUCUCUCUGAAACAACCCUGCAACCAAAUAACAAAGAAUCUCUUGUGUCCCCAACACACCCAAUACAAUGGUAAAUUGUAUAGGUGCACUAGUUCGGCGAAGAGAUGGUGAUACAAGUGUAAUAUGGAUGGUAGAUAUGGGUUUUUGUAAUAUGAAAAUAUAAAAACAGCAAGGUAACAUAGUAACAAAAGUGAGCGAAAAUGGUAUUGCAAUGCUUGGAAACAAGGCCUAGGGUUCAUACCUUUACUAGUGCAAGUUCUCUCAACAAUGAUAACAUAAUUAAAUCAUAUGGCAAUCCCUCAACGUGCGACAAAAGUCACUCCAAAGUUCCUAUCGUAGAGAACAUAAGAUGAAAUUGCUUGUAGGGUAUGAAACCACCUCAAAGUUAUUCUUUCCGAUCAAUCCAUUGAGCUAUUCAAGUGUCACAAACAGCCCUAGAGUUCGUAGUAAAAUAACACCAUAUGACACACAUCAAUCAACACUAAUGUCACCUAGAUACUCCAAUGUCACCACAAGUAUCCGUGGGUCAAUUAUACAAUAUGCAUCAAACAACUUCAGAUUCAUAAUAUUCAAUCCAACACAAAGAACCUCAAAGAGUGCCCCAAGAUUCCUACCGGAGAAACAAGGACGAAAACGUGCAUCAACCCCUAUGCAUAGAUUACCCCAAUGUCACCUCGGGAAUCCGCGAGUUGAGUGCCAAAACAUACAUCAAAUGAAUCAAUAGAACACCCCCAUUGUCACCACGGGUAUCCCACGCAAGACAUACAUCAAGUGUUCUCAAAUCCAUAAUAGUAUCCAAUUCGAUAAUAGUGAAACCUCAAAGGUAAAACUCAAUUCAUCACAAGAAGGUAGAGGGGGAGAAACACCAUAUGAUUCAACUAUAGUAACAAAGCUCGCGGUACAUCAAGAUCGUGCCCAAUCAAGAACACGAGAGAGAGAGAGAGAUCAAAUACAUAGCUACUGGUACAUACCCUCAGCCCCGAGGGCGAACUACUCCCUCCUCGUCAUGGAGGCCAUCGGGAUGGUGAAGAUGGCCACCGCUGAUGGUUUCCCCCUCCGGCAGGGUGCCGGAAUGGGCUCCCGAUUGGUUUUUCGUGGCUACAGAGGCUUGCGGCGGCGAAACUCCCGAUCUAGGUUUCUUUCUGGGGGUUUCUGAAUUUAUAGGAAUUUUUGGCGUCGGUUUCAAGUCAGGGGGGUCCAUGAGUCAGCGACAAGGCAGGGGCGCGCCCUCCACCCUUGUCGUUGACUCGGGACUCUUCUAGCCCAACUCUUGUGCUUCGGGGGCUUCUUCUGGUCCAAAAACAAUCUCCGUGAAUUUUCAGGUCAAUUGGACUCCGUUUAGUAUUCCUGUUCUGCAAAACUCAAAAAGAAGGAAAAAACAAAAACUGGCACUGGGCUCUAGGUUAAUAGGUUAGUCCCAAAAUAAUAUAAAAUAACAUAUUAAUGCAUAUAAAACAUCCAAGAUGGAUAAUAUAAUAGCAUGGAACAAUAAAAAAUAUAAAUACGUUGGAGACGUAUCACCACCCCCCCUACGUGACAUCCACGAUCUUUCAGUCUCCCACCUAUAGACAUAGGCGAUAACGUGAUACUCCCAUGGCUGAGCUAGCUUGAUUAUCACCGGCCUCAGCCCAUGUGCAACGAUUAGCGAAUCGCCCAGGCAUGCAGAAAACGUGGGGUCUUUACAUGCCAAGAGAGCUAUGCCUCGCUUACCGUGAGACCUAAGCUCACCUCACCUCUAACGCUUCCGCUAAUGGGCUGGUUCACAAUGUUCGUACACGUAGCUUCUGGGAUCGGUUAUGGUGACCUUAUAUGAACUGGUUUCAACUAGUUUUCAUGUGAGUUUUUGUAUAUUUUCUCAUCAUUCUGUUCAUUUUCCUUUUAUGUUUAUUUUUUUAAUAUUUUCCUACAUUUUUGUCAUACAUGCAGAUUUUUUUGAAAACAUGUUGAACAUUUUUCGUAUACAGGUUGAACAUUUUUUGCCUUUUGUUUUUAUGUGUUUUCUGUAUCAGUUUUCAUUGAUUUUUCUAUUCUUUUUCUUUUUUUUCUUCAUUUUCUAAAUACAUGAUACAUGUUGAACAUUUCCCUAUAAUGGUUGAACAUUUUUUAGAUACAUGUUGAACAUUUUUCAAACAGAUGUGCAUCAUUCUUCUGAAAUACACGUUGAAAAUUAUUUAAGCACACAUUGACCAUGUUUUAAUACAUUGUGAAUAUUUUCCAUAAAUGCGAAAAUAUUUUUUUUUAAUGUGCAAACAUUUGGUUAAGUGAUAUAUUCAUUUUUUUAUUGCAUGACCAUUUUUCUGAAUGGUACCUUUUUUAAUAUUGAGAGCAUUCUUUUACAUGGUAUAAACAUAUAUGUUAAUGUGACGAGCAUAUUUUUAUAACGGUUGAACAUUUUUUAAAGGUGAUAUACUUUUUUGAAUGAUGUAAAAACUUUUUACAAACCAUGGGAUAAAUUGUUUUUACAUUCUUAAUAAUGUGAUGAUGAUUUUUUUAAACAUGUGAACAUUUUUAAAUGUCAUGAAUUGUUUUUGAAAAGUUGCGCAAAUAUUUUUUUUAACUGCAUGAUUUUUAAAAAAUGCGUGAUGAACACUUUUAAAAGUUGGCUCCAUACCUCCGCCUCGUUGUGCAGUCAACCGUCUGUAUUGAUUGUGUGUGCCAAGAGAUCUCAUGAUGACGCCCGUGGGCGUCAAACAGGGGAGUCUUCAGGUCCACCCUGCCCGUGACCGAUUUUCCAAUUUUUUGUAUUCUUCAGUUUUUCAAUCAGGUUUUUAUCCAAAAAAACAGAUGUUGUCUUUUAUGAGCUGGGUAUUUUUAGAAUAUCUUAAAAAGUGGAUACAUACAUUUUAGAAAAUUGUUUAAUAUGUGAAUGCUCAGUAUGUUUUAUGAAAAUGUUCUUCAUAUAAUUGAAAUAAAGUUUGCUGUAUAUUAAAAAAAAUCAGUGUAUAUAACAAGAAAAAUGGUCAUCGUAUAUUAGAAGAAAGUUCACUAUCUUUGAAAUAAAUGCUCAGCGUAUAUUAGAAAAAUGUUCAUCAUAUAUUGCGAAACUAUAAAAUUAACAAAAUGUGAGGAAAAUAAAAACAGAAGAAAAACCAAAAUGCGAAAAAAGACAAAAAAAAAACCGAAGCAGAAGACCAAAACCAAAAAACACACAGAAACACGAACCAAAAAAGAAAAAAGUGCGCACGCGUUAGAUGGGCCGGCCCAUCUCAGCGAAGACACGCCUGUAUGACGCACGUUGUGUGCGCCAUUAUUACUGCCAUAAUAACUGCAUGGUGAAGAAUAUGAAAAAUUCACCAAGUUCACUCCUUUGGGCUGCAAAACAACAACUCAAAAGAUCAGGUGGUUGCAAGUUCUGGAAAAAACAGUCAAGUGCCGGCUUCCUCCUCCACAGUCCACAUGCUCUUCUAGGUCGUGACUACAACACGUGCAUGCUACCGUACAAAGAACAGAGCAGACGCAUCUCAUUCCCUGCUAGUAUAAAAUACGUAACACCAAGCCCAUGGAUUCCGGGGUGUAUGAACCACCGAAACUGUUGACAAGCAAGCAGCACGCAAGCCCAUUUUUUUUUAAAAAAAGACUCCCCGGCCUCUGCAUCAGAACGAUGCAUACAGCCACCUUUAUAGAUAAAUAAAAAGGUUUAAUAAGGUCUUACAGUCUGAAAUCAAAAUAACGGCAAACUCACGGAGAGCCACAACGCCAAACACAAAUGCCAAGAGGCCACAACCGGCUAGCAUAACAAAGAUAGGUAAACUAAUCGCCUAUCCUAUUACAUAACCGCCAGCCAAACCGGUUGAAGAUAUCCCGAGCUACCAUCUCCCAGCGGAUAGAUCCAGUAACCAAACGCUCCCUGGCCUCCGUCGGAGUGAGUAACGACCACAUACGGAUCAGCGCAGUGGCUCGGAAAAUAACCUGCAAAAAAUGAAUAUUUGUUGUUCUGUUAAAAGCCAAAUCAUUUCUGCAGUUCCAAAUUGCCCACAACAAAGCACAUACUCCUACGCGAAUGUGUCUAGUUAUUUCGGACUCUAUCCCAACAAACCACGUUCCAAAUAACGUACUGACAGAAUUCGGAGGAGAAAUAUUAAAGGCAAUGUGCACCGUGUGCCACAACACUUUGGCCAACGGGCAAUCAAAGAAUAAGUGCUUGAUAGUUUCAUCCCGACUACAGAAACUAUACCUAGUAGAUCCUGUCCAGUUGCGCUUUACCAAGUUAUCCUUUGUUAGAAUGACUUGUUUAUGUACAAACCACAUAAACACUUUAAUUUUCAAAGGAACUUUGACUUUCCAAACAUAUUUGGAACUAGGAAUGGCACUAGAGUUAAUGACAUCGAUAUACAUCGAUUUAACUGUGAACUCUCCAGACCUAUUAAGUUUCCAGCACAACUGAUCGGACGGAUGAGAUAGCUGAACCUCCAUCAGUCUACUCAUCAAAUAGAGCCACGCUUCCCACCGGUUGCCAACCAGCGUCCUCCUAAACUGAAUAUUAAGGGAAUGGACUGCAAAAUCGUUGCAACAAAAGCAUCACGUCGUUGAACAAUACUAUACAGGGACGGAUACUGAAGCGCCAGCGGCGUUUCACCAAGCCAAGUAUCCUCCCAGAAGCGAGUGGUGGUGCCAUUGCCGACUAUAAACUUUGUCCUAUUAAAGAAGACUGCUUUGACUCUCAUAAGUCCCUUCCAAAAAGGCGAGUCAGUCGGUCUCACUGACACCUGGGACAAAGUCUUGGACUGCAGAUACUUACUACGUAGAAUCUGCGCCCACUUAGCGUCAGUCUCAACUGAUAAUUUAUACAGCCACUUACUGAGAAGACAUCUGUUUUUGACUUCAAGAUUCUCAAUACCAAGGCCCCCCCUGGUCCUUUGGUCGACAGAUGAUAUCUCAUUUGGCAAGUCUGUAUUUUCUCUUUAAUUCAUCACUUUGCCAGAAGAAUCGGGAUCGAUAGAAGUCCAGGCUUUUCCUAACACCAACUGGGACUUCGAAAAAAGAUAAGAGAAACAUUGGCAUACUCGUGAGCACCGAAUUAAUCAGAAUCAAUCGGCCUCCAUAUGACAUGAGUUUGCCCUUCCAGCAACUCAAUUUCUUCUCAAACCGAUCCUCGAUACACUUCCAUUCUCUGUUUGUCAGCUUACGAUGGUGAAUAGGUAUAUCUAAGUACGAGAAAAGUAAUGUCCCAAUUCACAUCCAAACAAUUGCCUAUAAGCCUCUUGUUCCUCCUUGGCUCUACCAAAACAAAACAACUCGUUUUUAUGAAAGUUAAUCUUCAAUCCGGUCAAUUGUUCAAAUAAGCAUAACACCAACUUUAUAUUUCUCGCUUUUGCCAAGUCGUGCUCCAUAAAGAUAAUCGUAUCAUCAGCAUACUGCAGGAUGGACACACCUCCAUCAACUAGAUGAGGCACCAAGCCACCCACCUGACCGGCCUCAUUUGCCCUGCCUAUCAAAAUUGCCAACAUAUCAACCACGAUGUUGAACAGAAUAGGAGACAUUGGAUCACCUUGUCUCAGGCCCUUGUGUGUCUGGAAAUAAUGAUCUAUGUCAUCAUUCACUUUAAUUCCAACACUUCCUUUUUGCGUGAAAGAUUGUACCUGGCGUCGCCAGGCUUCAUCAAAACCCUUCAUGUGUAAGGCCUGUUGAAGGAAAGGCCAUUUGACUUUAUCGUAUGCUUUCUCGAAAUCCACCUUGAAAACAACUCCAUCUAGUUUUUUCGUGUGGAUCUCGUGGAGCGUUUCAUGAAGGACCUCAACCCCUUCUAGGAUGUUCCUGUCCGGCAUGAAAGCAAUUUGGGUAUGCUGCACCACAGAAUGCGCAAUCUGCGUGAGCCUAUUAGUCCCGACCUUGGUAAAUUUUUUGAAACUAACAUUAAGAAGACAGAUGGGCCUGAAUUGCUCAAUUCCCACGGCCUCUGUUUUCUUAGGAAGCAGGGUUAUCGUUCCAAAAUUCAGUUGAAAAAGCUGAAGGUGUCCAGUGAAUAAAUCAUGGAACAACGGCAACAAAUUCCCCUUAAUAAUAUGCCAGCACUUCUUAUAGAACUCGGCCGGGAAUUCAUCCGGGCCGGGAGCCUUAUUGUUUUUCAUCUGCGAUAUGGCCUCAAACACCUCUUUCUUAGAAAAAGGAGCAGCCAGAAUAUCAUUUUCAACAACAGUAAGUUGAGGAACAUCCUCAAUCCUAGACUCAUCCAGAGAAACACAGUUAUCCUCUGGAGGCCCAAACAACUGCUUGUAAUACUCGGUAAUGUAUAAUUUUAGGUUCUCCUGUCCUAAAACCGUUCCUUCAUCUUGUUCAAGCUGAAAGAUCCUCUUCUUUCUGUGUUUGCCACUAGCGAUCCUAUGAAAGAAUUGAGUGUUCGCGUCCCCUUGGACUACUCGUCGGACCUUGGCCCGCAGCGCCCAUUUUAAUUCCUCUUCACGAAGAAGCUCUUUCAAUCUCAUCUCCGCGUCAAGCUUGGCAUGAAGCUCCGAGGCCGGCAGAACCGUGGUUUCUGCUUUUACAUCCAGGGACUGAAUAAGGGCAAGGAGCCGUUCCUUUUCGACCUUAUAAAUCCCACUAAGAUGCUUAGCCCCACCCACGUAGGAAACUUCUCGAGUGCCUGAUCUUAUUUUGCUAACGCUCAAGCGCAGUCCUACCUCCUGCAUCCUUAGCCCAUUCUCUGGCUACGAGAUCAAAGAAGCCAUCUCGUUCAAACCAAGCAAGCUCGAACGAAAACGAGUUCUUGUUUCCCAAGUGGGUGGCCUCACCAGUCUAGAAAUAAAGGCGUGUGGUCAGAAAAUACCGCGGGAAAGUGCCUGAACUGUUACGAAGGGAAACUUCUGUUCCCAUUCGACGCUAGCCAGUACUCGAUCCAACUUUUCAAACGUCGGAUUUGGCAACGCGUUAGCCCAGGUGAACUUUCACCCCGAAAGCUCUAUCUCUCUCAGAUCCAACCUUUCAAUGUUGGUAUUAAAUAUGAACGGCCAUCUCCCGUCAAAGUUAUCAUUGUUCUUCUCCUCACGCCUUCUGAUGAUGUUGAAAUCACCCCCCACCAGGAUUGGAAGCUGCUCAGAGCCGCAAAUCCUAACCAGAUCAGCCAAGAACUCAGGUUUGAGUUCGGGCCGUGCGGCACCAUAUACCGCCACCAGAGCCCAAUUAAAACCAUCGGCCUUCGACCGCACCCGAAACUUAACUGCAAAGUCUCCCAUCACUACACUUCAGACUUCGAGCGAAUCACAUCUAACUUCGAGUAUUCAUACAUUCAUUCCAGGCACAUGAAGCACCUAAACUGUCGACGAACAUGCAUGCAGCACGCAGGUUUACAUCCAUCUACAGGGAUCAGAUCACCUUCCCAUCCCAUGUUUUAAAACAAUCGGCACGCGGUGAAAUGAACCUGAAAGAGUAGCCCAUACGCCAAGAGAGUAUAGCAGCAAGAAACAGAGGCUCACAGCCCCUGUUUCCAGAAUAACUAAAUAUCGUCAAUCUCCUUCCCUGAUCGCUGCCGACGCAUACGAGCUGAGAAUCUGUUACCAUCACACUGUCCUGAACCGUGUCAAAUAGCAGAAGUUGCAUGUCCAUUGUUUGGUGCGAGCUCGGUAGGUUCCCGGGGGACCAUUGCUGGAUCAGCGGCUCAGUUGUCCAUGUCAAGGGAGUCCUCCUCAUGUGUUCGUUUCCCCAAUUUCACCAUGUGUUCGCGCCUAGAUUAUUGGACCCGAGCCGAGGGUCCAUUGGUACCAAGAACGUUUCCCAUCCUAUCCUAGAAACAAGGGCAAGGCGUUUCGUGGACCAGGGGGGGCUCUGCACAGAUUUGUUAACACUAGUUGAUCAACUUGCGCCCGGGACACGAUCAGCUAGCACAUGGCUCCACCUUUUGGUUGCCUUUCUCUUGGUCUGCCCUCAAAGCCAUUCCACGCGCAUUCCGCGACCAAAACGAGUAGUCCACAAGCUAAGUGCUGGUCCUUACGGUUCACUCUUCUGAUUAUAGUUUAAGUGCAACAGGUCGAAUGCUCUCUUGCUGUUUCCGGUCAAGAAAAUAUUGUUGUUUUUUCACACAAAAAUGCUUCCUGAGCUUUCGUCUCUCAUUUUUCCAUGCGGACUGAGCUUUCCUCUGACCAACCCAAUAUUCUUCCAAACAGUGCUAUCAAGAGACAUGCCAGAAGACUAACCAGCACAAGUUUUUGACAAAACCAAGGCAUAAUAUUCCCACAUAACAUAACGAAAGCAAAUUCAAAAGGUUGAAGAAGGGGAGGCAGGAAGCUGCGAGGAUGUGCACCGCAUCAUCAUCAUCACCAUGGCCGCGGUCUUAUAUUAGCAAGCACACAAACAUAAAAUACAGACAAAUUGAAGGAGAAAGGCAAGCAAGUUGCGCCAACGUGGGCCCCACCCUUUGCAACUUCCAAACAACUUCCUGUGGUUUUGUCACGCAUCUUUCCUUGCUUUGCUUUAGCUGUCAACCAGGACCCUAUCACCCCCCAAUUCUCACAUGUGCUCCUGCCUUUUGGUUAAAGAAUUGGGCAGGAGGGGGGUGACAAGUCUUGCCUUGUGCAUCCGUCUUCCUCUCACACCCUAUCCUCAGCUGGACAAGUCUUGCCUUGUGCAUCCAUCUUCCUCUCACACCCUAUCCUCAGCUGGACAACGCCAUCCAACCUACCCGGGAUCUGCCCGACCCUCCCGUGUUGCUCUGUAUUUGCAUGAUUGGUUACACAACUAUAGACGAAAGCAACUUUACAAUAGACCAAAAUAGACCAUUGCUUGUGUUUGUAGAGAAUUAGAUACCAUGUCACUUGUUGACUACAUGCGAAAUUUGUUUCCGUAGUUAUAUUAUUAGUCUGUCCAUAGGAAAUCAUUAUUCAUGGCCUCGCCUCAGACAAAACUCCCUGCCGCGAACAAACAGAACAAGAACUCGUACAGAUCGGACCAGCGAAUCAUGUAAACAUAGAGCCAUGGGAAUACAAACAUAAUAUGAAUCCAUUACAAUCACUUGCUUUUACAAAUCAAGGAUAAAACUCAAUGACAAUACGGAAUGAUCAGAGUUUACAUAUAGGAUACAGAUAUGUUUCUUUGCACUAACUUUUUUCCUUAGCAUGGCCAACUCAAUAUCACCAUGUGUUAACAUGCCAAAACUUCUCUCGGGCUUCGGGCACCGGUCAUCAUCAUUUGCUACUUCUCUUUACAUCGGAACUAUGGAGGCGAAUAACAUAGAACCAUAACCUAAACAAAACGCUAGAACAUGAUAUGGGAUAAAAUAUUCAUGACUUGAUACUUCUAAGGACAAAGCACAUUUCAGAUAUAUUUCUGGUAAGGGCAUAAGGCUCCUGUCAUGCCGUCUUAUUGGUU
rnacentral:lncRNA from 1 species